UACAGAGGGUGCAAGCGUUGUUCGGAAUUAUUGGGCGUAAAGCGCGUGUAGGCGGCUUUGCAAGUCGGGUGUGAAAGCCCUCGGCUCAACCGAGGAAGUGCGCCCGAAACUGCAGAGCUUGAGUACCGGAGAGGAUGGCGGAAUUCCCCAAGUAGAGGUGAAAUUCGUAGAUAUCGAGAGGAACACCGGUGGCGAAGGCGGCCUUCUGGACAGUGACUGACGCUGAGACGCGAAAAGCGUGGGGAGCAAACAGG
rnacentral:rRNA from 1 species